GCGUUAUCCGGAUUUACUGGGUGUAAAGGGAGCGUAGGUGGCGUGUCAAGUCAGAAGUGAAAGCCCGGGGCUCAACCCCGGGACUGCUUUUGAAACUGUCAUGCUGGAGUGCAGGAGAGGUAAGUGGAAUUCCUAGUGUAGCGGUGAAAUGCGUAGAUAUUAGGAGGAACACCAGUGGCGAAGGCGGCUUACUGGACUGUAACUGACACUGAGGCUCGAAAGCGUG
rnacentral:rRNA from 1 species